CCUGCUCCUGGAAGCAAUGCAGAUGUGACUGCUGUGUCACAUGUGUGUUAGUAGGUGGCAGAGAGGAGAGAGUCUAUGUCUAAGCUUAGUGUUCUAACCGAUUGAUAUCUGAAUGAUUAGUAGCCUAACGUU